ACGUGGGUAACCUGCCUUCGAGUGGGGAAUAACUCCUCGAAAGGGGAGCUAAUACCGCAUAAGACCACGAUUUCGUUGGGGAUUGAGGUCAAAGGUGGCCUCAUUUUAUAGAGCAUUUGGGAGAGCCUUUCGGAGAUGAAAGACAGUCCUUAAUGUUUUGUACAGUGAAGCCGGUGCUUGAAGAGGGGCUCGCGGCCCAUCAGCUAGUUGGUAGGGUAACGGCCUACCAAGGCGACGACGGGUAGCUGGUCUAAGAGGACGACCAGCCACACGGGAAUUGAGAUACGGUCCCGACUCCUACGGGAGGCAGCAGCGGGGAAUCUUGGGCAAUGGGGGAAACCCUGACCCAGCGACGCCGCGUGGGGGAUGAAGGCUUUCGGGUUGUAAACCCCUGUUAGGUGGGACGAAUGC
rnacentral:rRNA from 1 species